rnacentral:rRNA from 1 species
GACGAACGCUGGCGGCGUGCUUAACACAUGCAAGUCGAACGGGAUUUAGUAAACGGAAGCCUCGGUGGAAGAUUACUAAUGAGAGUGGCGAACGGGUGAGUAACGCGUGAGCAACCUGCCUAUGACAGUGGGAUAGCCUCGGGAAACCGGGAUUAAUACCGCAUAAAAUCGUAGAAACACAUGUUUCAACGGUCAAAGAUUUAUCGGUCAUAGAUGGGCUCGCGUCUGAUUAGCUAGUUGGUGAGAUAACAGCCCACCAAGGCGACGAUCAGUAGCCGGUCUGAGAGGAUGAACGGCCACAUUGGAACUGAGACACGGUCCAAACUCCUACGGGAGGAAGCAGUGGGAAAUAUUGCACAAUGGGGGAAACCCUGAUGCAGCGACGCCGCGUGAACGAAGAAGGUAGUCGUAUCGUAAAGUUCUGUCCUAUGGGAAGAUAAUGACAGUACCAUAGAAGAAAGCUCCGGCUAAAUACGUG